GAUGAAGAACGCAGUGAAAUGCGAUACGUAAUGUGAAUUGCAGAAUUCAGUGAAUCAUCGAGUCUUUGAACGCACAUUGCGCCCCCUGGUAUUCCGGGGGGCAUGCCUGUCCGAGCGUCAUUGCUGCCCUCAAGCACGGCUUGUGUGUUGGGCCUCCGUCCUCCUCCCGGGGGACGGGCCCGAAAGGCAGCGGCGGCACCGCGUCCGGUCCUCGAGCGUAUGGGGCUUCGUCACCCGCUCUUGUAGGCCCGGCCGGCGCUUGCCGACACAUCAAUCUUUUUUCCAGGUUGAUCUCGGAUCAGGUAGGGAUACCCGCUGAACUUAAGCAUAUCAAUAAGCGGAGGA
rnacentral:misc_RNA from 1 species